rnacentral:rRNA from 1 species
GUUGAAAAAGAACGUACAACAUCUCGCACUUCCCUUCACUCUUCAUCCACUACGAUGUCUUAGUUAUCAACAGGGUGUACCGACACUACGUAGCAGAGGUCGAUACCGGUAUCGUUCGGAGGACGUACAAAUGUGUGGUUACAAUAUUUUCGGGUCCCGACAAUACUUCCGACCCUCCGUCACAAUAACAACAACACGCACAUCCACAGCGUUGUUGUUGACCUCGCUCGAGUACGCGUCUGUGCAGUGAUCUUUCAAGUUAGUGUGGCCUACAAUGGUUACCUUCGAUUCCUAUUCCUUCAGAUAGUUUCAGACGUUAGUCAUUUUUUUUCCAGCGGCUGUAGGACUGAAGGUAAGACAAUACAAUCCUUUGUUAACGUCCCCAAUGAUGUUCACAUCGUCGCAAUCCCCGCCGGAUCGCUCCUGCGUAC